GCUGAUGUGGUCUAGUGGUAUGAUUCACCCUUAGGGUGGGUGAGGCCCCGGUUUCGAUUACCGGCAUCGGCC
rnacentral:tRNA from 1 species